GACGAACGCUGGCGGCGUGCUUAACACAUGCAAGUCGAACGGAAAGGCCUGCUUUCCCUUGUGGAUUGCGGGUACUCGAGUGACGAACGGGUGAGUAACACGUGAGUGAUCUGCCCCCAACUUGGGUAUAAGCCUGGGAAACUGGGUCUAAUUCCCGAUAGGACUGCAGGGUGGUGCCUGUGGUGGAAAACGAUUUUCUAGUGGUUGGGGAUGAGCUCGCGGCCUAUCAGCUUGUUGGUGGGGUAAUGGCCUACCAAGGCGGCGACGGGUAGCCGGCCUGAGAGGGUGGACGGCCACAUUGGGACUGAGAUACGGCCCAGACUCCUACGGGAGGCAGCAGUGGGGAAUAUUGCACAAUGGGCGGAAGCCUGAGGCAGCGACGCCGCGUGGGGGAUGACGGCCUUCGGGUUGUAAACUCCUUUCGACCGCGAGGAAGCCACCUGGUUGGAAGGGUGGUGACGGUAGUGGUAGAAGAAGCACCGGCUAACUACGUG
rnacentral:rRNA from 1 species